rnacentral:misc_RNA from 1 species
GAUGAAGAACGCAGUGAAAUGCGAUACGUAGUGUGAAUUGCAGAAUUCAGUGAAUCAUCGAAUCUUUGAAUGCACAUUGCACCUCUCGGUAUUCCGGGAGGUAUGCCUGUUCGAGCGUCAUUUGUACCCUCAAGCUCUGCUUGGUGUUGGGUGUUUGUUCCGCCUCUGUGUGUGAACUCGCCUCAAAACAAUUGGCAGCCGGCGUACUUGUUUCGGAGCGCAGCACAUUUUGCGAUCCAGAUCAACGUACAGCGGCAUCCAAGAAGCCUUAUUUAACGCUCUUGACCUCGGAUCAGGUAGGGAUACCCGCUGAACUUAAGCAUAUCAAUAAGCGGAGGA